rnacentral:rRNA from 1 species
GACGAACGCUGGCGGCGUGCCUAAUACAUGCAAGUAGAACGCUGAAGGAGGAGCUUGCUUCUCUGGAUGAGUUGCGAACGGGUGAGUAACGCGUAGGUAACCUGCCUGGUAGUGGGGGAUAACUAUUGGAAACGAUAGCUAAUACCGCAUAAUAGCAGUUGUUGCAUGAUAACUGUUUGAAAGGUGCAAUUGCACCGCUACCAGAUGGACCUGCGUUGUAUUAGCUAGUUGGUGGGGUAACGGCUCACCAAGGCGACGAUACAUAGCCGACCUGAGAGGGUGACCGGCCACACUGGGACUGAGACACGGCCCAGACUCCUACGGGAGGCAGCAGUAGGGAAUCUUCGGCAAUGGACGGAAGUCUGACCGAGCAACGCCGCGUGAGUGAAGAAGGUUUUCGGAUCGGAAAGCUCUGUUGUAAGAGAAGAACGAGUGUGAGAGUGGAAAGUUCACACUGUGACGGUAUCUUACCAGAAAGGGACGGCUAACUACGUG